UCCGUACUUUGCCGGUAGAAAGACUAGCAGAGUAUCAUGCUUGCGUCUUGCACGCGAUUUUGUUCCUGGUAAACAAAAUCUAGCAGGCAGUUGUGCCUUUGGCAUGCGCCGGUUUUGGACGCAAGCUCGGCUCCAUCCCGUUGGGUUCAUCAAUGAAACUGGUGUGGACUUGGCUCAAUCCAAAGUUUCAUGGCAAAAGAUUGGUUUGGAAGCGAUCUUGGCUCCAUCCAAGACACAACUUGGUUAUGACUUCGCCAUGGCUCGGUCGCUGCCGCCCGCUGCCGGCAACUAUACCCGAGGCCUGUUCAUCUAUGGCUGUUCAUUGAUGGUAAAAAAUGCAAACUGAAAAAGAAAACAAAGCAGCAUGCUCCACGUAUAAGAGAGCAUGUCCAUCAAUUUAUUAACUGAACUAACCAAAAUCAUGUCAUAUACUAGUUCAUGCUAUGUCAUAGAUGCUAACGUGCGCGGUGCACUACUACAAAAACAAUUUGUAGGAACACCUACAAAAGAAUUUUUAGAGGCAAAUCACCCCUCACCUGCCCCAAAAAUGAGCGUCAUUUUCAAGACCCCUACAAAUAGUUGUACACAAAAAAAUUCAUAACUUUUUUAUAUGAUCUCGGAUGAAGACAAACUUAAUAACAAAAUUGUAGAGAAUGCCCCUACAAAUGGUUCCACAUAAAAAAUUCAUAAUUUUUUUAUAUGAUCUCGGAUGAAGUCAAACUUUAUAUCAAAAUUGUAGAGAAUGACAAGAUCUAAAACUUUGUAGUUGAUAAAUUUUUUAUUUGAGGUCAUCUAAUGGUCCAAAAUAUUAUUAUAAAUUCUCUAAUAGCUAUUACUAUAUAGUAUCUCAUACAACUUAAAUCAUACUUUGAUCUUUCCACAAUCUUAACCUUUAGAUACACUGAAAUAUAUUUGGCAUUUUUUUGUCUCUAUAGUUCACACUAAUCAUGAUGUGAAAGUUUCAUAUUUUUUUAAUUUAUUUUACUAAUUUAAAGAUUUAAAUAAAUUUUUAGAAUAAAAUGAAAAAAACAUUUUUAAAAACAAGCAAGGACAUCACCGGCCUCUGAAAAUAAAUUUCUAAAGACGGGUACCACCCGCCCGUAGAAAUGAAUUCUUAGGACGGGUGACGCCACACCCGCCUCACCAAUCCAGAUCGUCACAUCGCGACGUCAUCGAUCCAUGCCCCACGCGCUCCACCAAUCGCGCAUCCAUCCACACCCCACGCGAUCCGCACCCCACGCGCUCCACCAAUUCGCGCCCCAUCAUAACCACUACAUCACCCUUCUGUUGUUUCUCUCCACCUUUUCCUUCUCUCUCCCUCCAAUCCCCUCCCCAUCUCUCUCGUUCCAAUCCAUGUUCCCUCCUCGCUCAGCACCGCAAGCAUCACGAGCCUGGCCAAGCCCCUCCGCCUCUCCGUCCGCGCAAGCACCACGACAUGGCCUCUACAAGAUUUUGUUUUUUUUCUGCGAUUUUCGGUUCUUGAUUUCCUGCAGUACGAAGCCGUCCACCGUGAGCGGGAGCAGUGGUGCAGUCAGCUUCGGGAGCGGGAGCUGCGGCGUGGGUGCGGCAGAGCAGCGGCGGCGAGGCCGUGCGCACAGCAGCGCGGGACCGUGAACUUGACGGCGCGGGGCUGGACGAGCAGCGCAAGGCCGCAGGAGCAGUGCUCACGGUGGCACGGGACCACGCGACCGCCGGCGUGGGGCCGCAGGAGCAGCGGCGCGACACCAGCGCAGAGCCGCAGGAGCAUGCAUGGCGGCGGCAGGGCCGCGUGCACGGCGGCCAUUUUUUUUUUGUAUUUGGUUUGUAGGAGCGGGUGACCGCGUGACCCGUCCUGAAACUGAAACUAGAGGUGGGUUAUGUCUUCACCCGUUUCUAAAAAUUUAUUUCUAGAAACGGAUGAGGGCAUCAUCCAUCCAUAAAAUGAUUUUUAAGGGUGGCCAUGUUACUCGCCCUUGAAAAAAAUAUUUUUAAAGAUAUUUUUAGAAAAAAAACUAGAGGUGGGUGAGAUGUUCGUCCAUACAAAUUUAUUUUUA